CCCGGUGUGGCGAAACUGGUAAACGCGGCACGUUAGGAACGUGUGAUGUAGCAAUCUUGCGGGUUCGAGCCCCGCCGCCGGGACCA
rnacentral:tRNA from 1 species